GCACCGCUGAGGAGUCCGAGAACAAGACGAAACGGCCGUCCAAUGC
rfam:Schistosoma curassoni strain Dakar, Senegal genome assembly, scaffold: SCTD_scaffold0000755